GGAUGUGUGCCCGAGAGCUUAGGGGUUACUUUGAUAGAGUAAACCACAGGGGUUGACCCCCCUCACCUCCU
rnacentral:tRNA from 1 species